GAUGAACGCUGGCGGCGUGCCUAAUUCAUGCAAGUCGAGCGAACAGACGAGGAGCUUGCUCCUCUGACGUUAGCGGCGGACGGGAGAGUAACAUGUGGAUAACCUACCUAUAAGACUGGGAUAACUUCGGGAAACCGGAGCUAAAACCGGAUAAUUUCUUGAACGGCAGGGUUGAAUAGUGAAAGACGGUUUUGCUGUCACUUAUACAUGGAUCCGCGCCGGAUUAGCUAGUUGGUAAGGUAACGGCUUACCAAGGCCACGAUGAGUAGCCGACCUUAGAGGGGGAUCGGCCACACUGGAACUGAGACACGGUCCAGACUCCUACGGGAGGCAGCAGUAGGGAAGCGUCGGCAAUGGGCGAAAGCCUGACGGAGCAACGCCGCGUGAGUGAUGAAGGUCUUCGGAUCGUAAAACUCUGUUAGUAGGGAAGAACAAAUGUGUAAGUAACUAUGCACGUCUUGACGGUACCUAAUCAGAAAGCCACGGCUAACUACGUG
rnacentral:rRNA from 1 species